UACGGGGGGGGGCAAGCGUUGUUCGGAAUUACUGGGCGUAAAGGGCUCGUAGGCGGCCAACUAAGUCAGACGUGAAAUCCCUCGGCUUAACCGGGGAACUGCAUCUGAUACUGGAUGGCUCGAGUUUGGGAGAGGGAUGCGGAAUUCCAGGUGUAGCGGUGAAAUGCGUAGAUAUCUGGAGGAACACCGGUGGCGAAGGCGGCAUCCUGGACCAACACUGACGCUGAUGAGCGAAAGCCAGGGGAGCAAACGGG
rnacentral:rRNA from 1 species